rnacentral:rRNA from 1 species
AUUGAACGCUGGCGGCAGGCCUAACACAUGCAAGUCGAACGAGUGGCGGACGGGUGAGUAAUGUCUGGGAAACUGCCUGAUGGAGGGGGAUAACUACUGGAAACGGUAGCUAAUACCGCAUACCAUCGGAUGUGCCCAGUGGGGAUGAGCUAGUAGGUGGGGUAACGGCGUACCUAGUCGACGAUCCCUAGCUGGUCUGAGAGGAUGACCAGCCAAACUGGAACGGAGACACGGUCCAGACUCCGACGGGAGGCAGCAGUGGGGAAUAUUGCACAAUGGGCGCAAGCCUGAUGCAGCCAUGCCGCGUGUGUGAAGAAGGCCUUCGGGUUGUAAAGCACUUUCAGCGGGGAGGCGUUACCCGCAGAAGAAGCACCGGCUAACUCCGUGCCAGCAGCCGCGGUAAUUC